CAAAACAGGAGGCUUCAGUCUUCCAACAGGAAAGAAAAUGCUUUGCUUUUGCCAGCUGUUGUUGUUUUCCUUACUCUGUUGUUUCCUCCCAGUGUGCUGUGACUUCUUUGUUCUCUGGAGAAAACAAACUUUGUGGGGAGAGCAGCCUUUAUUAAUGAAAGCAAACAGCCGCUGCUUUGUUAUUGUCUGUAUGAUGCCCUGAUAAUGUUUUGCAAACAUAAUUCCUGCUAUGCUGGAAGGAGUCUCGUGACUGGACGUUGGGAGAGCAGCGAUGGCUUGUGGAGGUUAUUGGGCUUAUGGUAGUUUGGAUAUAUGUGCUGCAUUUCAUUGUGCAACGAUCGAAAGCAGAACUCCAGGAGAUCAAGAAGGCAACUAAAUAACGUGUUUUCAAAGGGACGUAAACUGAAAAAGCAAGUGCCAUUGCCAGCUGUAAACAUUGCCUUCUCCUCUCUUUGGCUGAAAAAAGUAGUACCUCUAAUGACUAAACAAACAAGAUUUUUACCAUCAUUACUGGGAGGGGUGUGAAACAAAGGAAACCUGCACAGCUGAGCAGGCCCCAUGUUGGCACAGCACAGUGUACAGUUGGAUUACCACAGAGGAGUCAGUCAGGUUUGGUUAGGGAAGCCAAUGGAAGCCCUCCUUCACCCUGAGGCCUUGACCCCUUGGUAAAGCGUGCAAUGACUUGAAUUUUGUUGGACAUCUUAUCCUCGGGUUGCUUUGAUUCAGAGCCUGAGUUCCCCAUACACAUCUAUUUCUGUGGGGAGGCAAAGGGAGAAGAAGAUGACAACUUAUCUGCGAAUUUGGACCAUGCUGUUCAGGAAGCGUUUCUAUGCCGUUGUGCUCCAGGAUGUGCUGAGGAGCCUCAGCAUCUAUGUCUACAUUGGCCUGCAUGCUGGGCUUUUCAUUCUCCCACUUUGCAAAGCCUUUGUUCUUCCCAGCUUUGCCGUGGAACUUGGACUUCAUUUUUGGGAAAGUGUGAGACCCUGAAUCACUCCAGCCCGGUUCGUGCCACAGCGGUUCUGUCUGCGUUGCUUGGCUGGCUGUCGCCCUCUGCAGCCGCACUGAAAUCUUCCGGGAGGAGCCGGUGACAAGAGUGAUGGCUCUGCCAUCGAGGUCCUGCUGUUCUGCAUCGACGCUGGGAAACUCAAACACUUCAUCCUGGGCUGAACAAGAAGCUCAGCCACUGAUGCAUUGCAUGGACAGCAAGCCUGCAGGUACAGGCAUGGGGAUGUACAUGAUAUGGACAGUGCUGCCAGCAGACCUUUUCCUGACCCCAGGGUAUGUAUUUCAGGAUGUCUCCCUGCUAGGAUAAGGACACUCGGCUUUCCAAGAUGCCACUACUUGUUGGCACAAACUGACACCUUGCAGAUCCCUUGAAGAUGCCAGGGGCUGCUGAGGGGGAGGCCUUCAGCACUGGUGUUCUCCUGCUACAGUGAGGCUUUGUGGGAUGCAGCAACCACUUGCUGGUCAAAGCCAGUGUGGGCUACUCAAGCAAAAUCUGGCUGCCACUUCAGUGAAAAAGACAGUUGACUUCUGCUAAAACCCACCACCUGAAUUGUGAAAAAUCCAUGCAGUAUAUUUAUUUACCUUUACAUUUGUAGCCUUGUUUGAUUAUACCCCAGAGCUGCAAAGACAAAAAAAAAAAAAAAAAAAAAAAAAAAAAAAAGGUCAAGGAAUCAGAAAAGAAAGCCGGACGGAAAGCGAGGUCACAAUGAGGAAGUACCAAUGGCUACAGAAGCACAAACAGGAUACAACUGCUCUUAACACCCUUCCUGUCAGGCAGACCUCCUCCUCUAAAUGUGAUAAGCCUUGUGUGGUUUCCCCCUUACUUCUGCCUGCAGUGGGACUACUGGAGAAGCAGCGGCACAGCUGAUGCAUACUGCCAGGAAUGGGUAAAAGAAUCACUGUCCUAUCAGGCUUACAAAAUCCAGCAAAGCACAUUCUGCUUCUGGCUUGUUUUGAGCCAUCUGAGGGAUCAUUCCCAUGACACAUCUGGUCUCCAGCCACAUGAAUGGGCCUGUACUCUACAAGCAUGGCAGACAAAAACACCACUGGGGACGAAGUCACUUUGUGGCUUUGGAGCUGGUUCCCAAACAUGGACUGAUCCAUUCACCUGACUUCUUCCAUUAAGAAUAGUCAAAGCCCAAAACAGACAGACAAUUCACUGAACUCCUCUUUGCCUCCUCCCAGAGGCUGUCCUUAUUGAAUGUUGGCCUUCCACGUGGCAGCAUAUGCGUGUUCUGCUUUUGGGAAGCUGUCACUGUGAUGUGAACUUGGAAGUAGAAAAAAAGAUCCCCUGCAAACUGUUAUCUGUACACUCAGAAGAAAGGUAACUACAACCAUGGCAUUAUAAAAACAAAUAUUUUCACUCUGUACAGCAGAGGGAGGAGAGUAUAGUCCAGUUCUAAAGGAAAAAGAUGAGAGACUGUAGUGUUUAUUUAUCCUGAAUUCCCUCAAAACAUAAAUAGCAAGGGUAAGCACAACUAGACAGUUGAAGCUGCAUGUGGCUCCUCUAUGACAGUAUGCAGUGUGUGGGAGAAAUGUGCUGAGUAAAAGAAUGGCCAACAGGAAGAGCCACAGUCCCUAUGGAGCACAAAAGAAAGAGUAAAAAAAACCCUGCAUAUUGUGUAAGACAGAACUGCUUGCGUUUUUCCAAUUAGAGACCGGGAUAUUGUGUGGAACCAUAUAAAAAGCCUUGCUGAAGUCCAGGUAGAUUACAUGAGUUGCUCUUCAUCUACUACUGCCAUCCUUCCUUUGCAGAAGGCUACCAAGCUGGUCUUUUCCUGCAGAUGCUGUAGAUGUGCAGUGACUGUGGAGCUGUGGUUGGCCCCUCCUGGAAAAGCCACCCCUGGCUAUGCUUUCCUCAGCUCUUUGCCAGAUCCACUUGAUGGGGUGUGGAUUACUUUUCCUGUUGUCAAAGCUCUGCUCUGUUCCCUCUGGAGAGCUUUUUCCUUAAUGUAACAUGAAUCCUGACCUAAAACUUUGAAUCCACCUGACACGGCUCUAUGACAAAGCUGCCUUCAGCCAGGCCCAGGGUAAGAGGGUCUGUGCAAAUGUGGACGGCCAAGCUGGAGGGGAUGGCUGCUCACUCACCCUGACAUGGGGUGCAAGUCAAGCUGUGGGUCGGAACUGAGACUGGUAGCGAGAGUAUUGAUUUCACUCUGUGAAUGGCAUUAGAUUGUAGCUUGACCUUUAAAGUUCACCUUGUUUUAAUAUUAGAUGUUUGACUGGUACUGGAGCCAGUGUGCUGUCACAUCCAUUCAUCCUGUUGCAUGGUCAGUUCACAUUUUUUUGACGGUGAAUCACUGCAUCAGUUCAAAACAGUUUCCACCCAUGGUUGGUUGGACAGUGCUGAAAUGCACAACAAACAUACAGUGGCUGGUGCCUGUCCUAUCAGCCCAGCUCAUCCACAGGACAAUGCUAGUGAAUGCAGUGAGCUGGCAGGAAAAAUGACCUUAUUUCCAUUUCCUCCACAAUCCCUUACUUAUUUUUGUUCCUGUGCCAGUUGUAAUCAUGAAGACAUGGAAAAAGCCAGCAAGCAAACUGAUAAGGGAGAAAAAUAUCUGGUAAAGAGGACAUUGCAGGACACUCCUCAGCCCAACUUGGCGACGGAAGCCUUCCAAGCAUGAACUAAGUGUCACGAAUGCAAUGACGUCUUCCUAAGGCAGCAGGCAGCCCAAAACAAUAGGCUCAGGCCAGUUCCCAAUGUUCUUUCUUCUGGAGUGGAGCUGCAGAGCCUGCCUGCAGGCUUCUGAAUUAGCACUGACUCUCAUCUCUGAGGCUUCUGCAGUUCCAGUGGAAAUGGGCAGAAUUCCUUCUUCCCCAGCCUUGAUCAGCAGCUGCGAUAGGGAACACAAAGGUCCUGGUGUGAUGGGUGCCAAGCAGAAGUGAGGGAAAAGGGCCAGUCUGAGAUGAGCCACCAUGUUCAGAAAAGAUGAAGGAGUUGCAACGGAUGUGGUUUAAACAAGGAGAGUUUUGGAUGAUUUUUAUCAACACAUGACAAUGGCAACAACAACAUAGGAACACCACGUGCAGUUCUGGCAUCUUUCUAAGAAAGAAGAAAACUUUUUUCUGUUUUUUUGAAAGAGCACCUACAAAGAGGAAACCAAAAAAUAUAUGUGUAGUCUGGUUGAGUGACUAAAGACUUUAAUUUACCUUAACUACAUAAUCCCAUUUAUUGACCUCUAAUAUGGACGAGAUCAGAAUUUAAUAGUUCCCCCCAGAGUUAGUUAUUAAUUUGUGAAAAGCAGAAGGAGGUCUUGCUUCAUUAUCUACAGUGCGUUCCUGGUUCCUCACCAGAAGUCCCUCAUAUGCCAACACAACAGGGCUCUGUCUCUCCAACGGGACCUUCCACUGUGUAGCUUUGUUUGCAUCAUUCAUCAUGCCUCCUUCAUUCUGUAGCUGCAAGACCACAGCUGGAACUCUCUGUGACCUCGUACCAGAUUUUCAAAGUGACACCAAGACUGUACUAUCUUUACUAUGCAUAAUACACUUUGGACAGCUUGGCCACCAGGCACUGACAUACCGACACCAAGAAACCUGCCUCUUGCCAGCAGAUAAGCACAGUAGAACGCUUGAUCCAGGGGAGGCUUUCCAGAGACCUUCUCUGGGCUUAGUGAUGUGUGAGUCCUUGAAAAUUUGCCAUUUUUGCCUCUGGAAACCUGCUUAAUAAGUGUUAGCUCUGAUUUCUGGACUAAAAUAGAAAUAGUUCUGAAAGUAUCAGCAAGAGCUCAAAUUCAUUAACAGAUAUUUAAAACUUAUCCCCGUCACAAUAAUUGCUCAAAAACCUUGAAUGAAAUUGUUUACAAUGAUUACAGUAUCAAAAGGAACGUUCCCUUUGAUGUAUUCUUUUGAGUACUUACAUCCACUAACUUUCUUAUGUGCUUGUUGAUGACGGUUGGGUCAGGCUUAGGUACCACUCCAGAUGCCCACUCCAGUGGCACCACUGGUUUGCUUGGGGUUGUUGGGGAGGUAGGCUGCUAGGAGACCAAUCAAACACAACGAUGUUAGAAUUUGAAUUAUGAAAUGUGAGUUCUCAUAACAAGCAGCACCAUAUGGCAGCACUGCAGCCAACUUCAACAGCAGUGAAACUUGGGGGCAGGAAGGAGAGUCUCUGGACACAAUGAGAAUCAGGAAUAGCAUAGAAACCUACUCUUCUUCAUCUUGAGAGAGCCCCUAAGGAUCCCGCCAUCACGAGAGGGAGAUAAACAAGCCUAAUGAAAAAUGUUUUAUUAUUGUGAUAAUAAGGAUAUCGUAGACUUUCACACUGAGAUGAAAAAGGGUCACAAGGUCAUACCAUACUGUGUUUGGUAGGAAAAAAAAAAGAAAGGAUGUGUUCUUGACUCACCAUAUUAGUGUGCUCAGGUGAGUUUAAGAAGAAAAUAAUCUCUAUAUCCACAGAACUGAAUUCCAACAAGAAACACUCAACACUCAACUCACUUAUGGAACAUUUUUAAUCCUAAGAUUAAUGUCACCAUACGGUGAUGAAACAACCUGCUGGCAAAUAUUUUUGCUCUAAAAACACACAGGAAUGCAGCAAUCUUUUAGAGACAACAUGUUAUACGAUAACACAAAACAUGCCAGUAUUGUGACAUCUGUGGUUUGAUGUGUUCCUUCUCUCAAAAAAAGUUUAGGUUAAUUGGGACUCAAAGAAUUAGCACACUGGUGCUGGACUACUACAGACUCACAGAGAGCUCCUGCUGCUCUGAGUAUACACAGUGGCAGAAAGAAACCAAAUCCACUGGAGCAUUCCUCUUUCUUCUGAACAAUCAAACUCUCACUCUCUCUCUCUCUCUCUAUAUAUAUAUAUUUGGUGCCAACGCUUAUAUGUUGGCAUUGAAAUCCAUCUUAUACUGAAGCAAAAUAUAUCUAUGCUAGUGCACCCUCAGUGGCAGAAUUGUGCUGGGCAGAGAUGCCCAUAAGCCAUUGGCUGUACAAGCAAAAAAAAACCAACAAACUAGGUAGUCCCUGGGUAUUCACUGAACACAGCAUCAAAGUCUCCAAUAACAGCUGGGUACUCAUACUACUUUGUAAUUCUCUUCACUUACAGUGGUGACCCACUCCUUCCACAGCACAGAGCUGUAAUUGCCCAACUUUACUGGCAAUGAAGGAAGCAAGAGGGAGCCAGAAUAACUGUGGCAAAGGGAACAGUUGUGGUCAAAUUACAUCCAAUGCGGACAGGAGACUCAUCAGCGAAAUUCCAGGUAUUCAGACUGAAUUAGUGCUGACUGUGGAACUACUCAAUAUUGCCCAUCAUCCUCCAUUGAAACCACACACAUGCAGUCUUCAAGCUGGUCUCCAAAAGUGAUGAACUAUUCUUAAAGUCAGGCAAUCAAGCAGAGAAUCUCUGUGAGUCAAUUAUUCUCCGCUGAGAGAAGCCCAAGCCCAGUCCCCUAGGAUACCCUGCCAAGAUCCAAGUAUUGUGCUGGUGAGACCUGAACUGCGGAACUCAUCAGACCUUCAAGAAGGGAUGUUCUGCUCAAUAUCUUUACAUUUGGUUGUCCACCAUACCUUUGUGACUUCCGAAGACAGAUGAGAAUGAGUCUCUUUCAGGCGAGAAAUAGAGCUAUGGCUAAGACCUCCCACAACUGCCAUCAGUGUGUUGAAGUUCUGGAGAUGAAGGAGCUUCUGUAGAAGAGAUGGAUCAUGAAAAAAUAAAAAUAAGGGUCUUGCUGUAUCACUUAAAACUUCAGCAUUUGAAUGCCAGGUAUUACUAAGGCAUGCAUGAUGAAUAUGAUUAUUACUUCUAUGGAAUCAUUUUUCCCCACGAUUUACUCAACACUUAAGACAUUUUAUUUUGUGCAGUUUUACUUGACAUCCUCAUACAAUUAUACUGUAUACAAAUGACCUAGUGCUACAAGCAAGAAGCAUAUAAAAAGGAGCUUUCACUUCACUUCAAUACCUGAUCAACAGCAUUACUGGGCGCUGCUGAAGUCAACAGGAGCUCCUAACAAGAGUCUGAACUGCAACUCAAGAAGCUAACUAUGCAUCAGUUUUCCUAUGUCUUCCUCCUACAUCAACUGAUCAAUUUGUAGCACAAGCAGCUAGUUCUGCUAAAUCUUGCUCAUUCUGAUAUUGUUCAUUCCUAUGUGUUCAUGGAUAUCGUUCCACACGGAUGGCUACCACUAGAAUUAGAUUUCCUGACAACUUCUGGAAAGUAUUCUUCAGCUCUCCCUUAAAUUUGGAUUUUCAGAAGCUUAUGAUGGAAUUUCAGCUUGUGUAGGGAGCUGUAGCAAUACCAGCCAACACUGACUUCUUGGUCAUCUUAGCUGCUAGAACUGCCUGCUAGAAGACAAUAUGACAGCAUAUUCUCUUACACAGUAAAUGAAAUGUAAAAAAAAAAAGUUUUGUUAAACAAUAUGAAUGCCCUUUCCUAGGACAGGGUCCUAUCUGCAAACAACAAAGUUUGAGGCUUCUUACAGAAAUUCUCCUAAAAGAUUUAUGCUCCAGAAAAGUGAGAUGUUCAGCUAGUUCAAUGGGCUCCAGAUGAUCAAAAAGUAGGCAGGCUUUUCCUUUCUUAGAAAUCUUCUUCCUUUGUGUAACUCUUCUCAUCCAGUCAUAGGAAGGUCUGCAAGAGAAAAUUAGACACAAUUCUCAUUUCUUUUUGGGGAGUAGCCAUCAGUAUACAUAAAAUUAUCAAGAGAGCUAUCUGUGGCUUCUAGCAGACAACACUCAGCAUAAGAUAACGUUCAGAUGUAUAAUGAGGAGUAAGGAUUUCAGAGAUCUCCUUUCUGCAUAAGAUGCAUGAUAUCAGGUUUCCAUCGGAAGAAAAGGACAAUGUACAGGAGGCUGUAAUUCAAAAGUGCCUUGGAAAUACAAGAAAAAUAAGUCAAAUUCUGAAUAAGACAAAAAAAAAAAAAAAAAAAAAAAAAAAAAGCCACCUUCAAUAACAUCAAGAAUUAAUUUUAACUCUGUAAGACCACAAGUCCAUAAAAUAACAGAACGGUAGAAAUGCCAUCAGUUGAACAACCACAGUAAGGUGUUUGUGCAUAACCAUGUAAACCGUUUGCUUACAAGUAAUGGAAUAACUCCUACCCAAAUACAGCAAAGGCACUUCAUAGAGCAGAAAGAGGUUCCUAAGUUAAAAUUUUAAAACUAAGAUUGAAGAGCUAAUAUUCAUGUGAUUUCACUGGCAUUCGUGCACAAAAUUUUGUAGACUUCACUGAGAUUAGUUGGGCCAUCAUUCCAGGUUGCUACGCUGAUUUUUAAAUAAGGAAAAACAAUUUUGACUGUGCCAUAUUUUAAAAGAAAAUCUACAAUAUCAGGUAAGAUAUAAGAGCCUGUUUGGUGAUGUUAAAAAGGUAACUUCUUAGAAGUCAUGGUAAUAGUAGUAUAAGCACUUCAAUGCAAGAAAAUUACACAUGUCAGUGCUAAAGAUUAUUGAAUUAAAUAAUAGAAAAUAGCACACAGAAAGGCAUUGGAAAAAACAGGUAGGUUACAGAUACGAGAAUAAAAAAGCUUCCAUAAGAAAAUACAAGAUUUACACGAUGUGCCAAUCACUGCGUUGCUUGUCAUUCUGUAUGAAAAGUAACAGGAAGAAAGUAAUAUUAAUCAUUUAAUUAGCACUAGGUUUUUCAAAAGAAUCAAGAAAAUUAUUUCUUUACCAUUUACAUUGAAUACUUAUGCACAGAUAAGAGAUUGCAGUGUCAAACUACGUGUAGAAUUCCAAAUUUAGACGGUAAGAGAAUUUUUUUUUGUAAAUGAUUGUUUGCUUUCUCAAGAUUAGGAUGGCCUUUAAUACUUUCAUAUUUUGGACAGAAUUAGAAUUCUGCUGCUACAGAGAACAGAGGUAAAGAUGAUAAAGCUCAUGACAUUCUUACAUGCUGGAGAUAUCAAUGAGAUCGAUGUGAUCCUCAUAGCCAAGCUGGCUGGCUAAUUCUCGAAAUUCUUCAGUCAAACGAAUCAGCCCGAGAUCCAAGUUAAAUUCUGCAGGAAAUUCCAGAAUCCAGUAUCUGAAAUUGACAUAAAUAAGUUCAGAGACACCUAGGGAUUCAGGUGUAAUAUUUAGUGGCUGUACAGAGUUACUCACAUUUUAAUCAACAGAACUUAAGAAUAUUUCAGACAGAGUGGUUUUGGGGCAGAGAGGGUGUGCAACCCCAGCCUGCUGAUGCUGUACUUCUCUCUGACAUUAAUGACAAAGACUUUAAAAAUAAACAGUCACGGACCUAGAAAAACAGGGGCUGUACCACUGUUCUUUUAGUAGCUGAAUCAACAGUCUCAAGUAACUCCAAAAUAUUCUAGCUUAUAACUGACAACAGGAUUGUUGACAUCAUGCAAUCAAAUUAUCAUAUAAUUUUCUUCAUUUAAUUCACCACAGUACCAUACAGGAGCACUCUUUUGAAAUGUCAAAUUAAAAGAUGCAUGGGGUGACACACAAAAGGCAGCCACACCACACCUACCCCAACUCACACUGCCAGGGCACCCAAAUGACUUGCAUUUGUCCCUUGUUUAAGUGAGACACUGUGCUCAGAAAAAGAUUUUCCAGUGAAAAUGAAAACGUGAAGUUAAAGUGGCAGCACUACCACGAUAACCAUGUAAACAAGGCAAUUCCUCUUCUAUUUAAGAGGGCAGGAAAAAGGCUUUGUCAGUGCUACUUUCAGUACCUCUCUCCCAUUCCAACACAGUGAUAUAAUUUAGUCAUUUGUUUGAGGGAAGCAGGUUGUAGCGUGUUAGCUUAAAAAUUCAUACUUUCUAUUUUAUGGAGAAAUGCUCCUAACCAAGCACAGCCUAACCAGGGACAGCUUUCCUGUAGAAACAAAGUCAGAGACAAUUAGGUGCAAAGAUCAGAACAAAUCUGAUCUGUAAAAGCUUUGACAUCUCUAACAUACUUGUGUCAUCAUAAAUUACACACAGAUUAUUUGAACCGAAGCCAACAGCCCAGAGAUAAACUUCCUCCACCAAAAUAGAUGAUACAUGGAAGUAAAAAGUGUCACUGUUCUGUGUGGCACUGACCUCAUCUCCCUGUCAGAGGUGUCAUGCUCAAACACCAGGUAAUACACGGCACAAGGUUUCAAUCAGCUGUACAGUACAUGCACAGUUACAUGUCUUAAGCACUGGUUCUGCUGAAACCAUUGUUUUCAAAGCACAGUAAUUCACACUUUACUACAGACUAGAGAUCAAAUAAAACAAUAACUUUUUUAAACAUUAGGAAAAUAAAUUACAAUUAUAGUAUUCACAGCAAAUAGAAAACAGAAGCGUGCCUACCUCAUGAAGUAGCAGAUUUUUAGUCUGAAUUCAUUGCAGUUCUCCCCACUGGCAUCUCUAUAUGUAUUCUAGUUAAAGAAAGCUUUAGGUGCCUUGAUUCAGUAAUGUGGUUUUUAUCUACAUCAGACAGUGACUCUAGACCAGUUGAACAAAACCAGUAUUAAAAACUUUCCUUCAACAGACAACUACAACAUCAUCUGAUAUUCAUUUACUUACACAGUAUCUUAAGACAACGACAAUUUCUUGGCUGCCAUUUUGGUUUUUGCCCUUGCAAAAAUGCCUCUAUUGCACUGUUCUGAGUACUCUGCUGAACAAUUUUGAAGACACGUAGGUACUGAGCUACCACUGAAAGCUCGUAUUGGUCCAAUACCAGCCUGCCACUAUAAAUUUGAAAAAUUAUCUUGGCAACAUUUUUCCAUUUAUUCAAAGAUAAUUCAAAGCAUGCCUCAGCAAACUUGUUCUUAUGGAAAAUAUCUACAACCAAAAGCCGAAUGAAGCUCCCGGAUUUCCAUGUUUUAGGGUGAAAGAGUCAAACUCUGUUUGUUACUAAUUAAGUAACAAAUUUUUACAUGCAGUCGCAGAAACAAUCUGCUUUCAACACUGUAAUGCUGACUUGCAAGACUUCCUGAAAGGAUAUGUAGACAGAAGCUUGACAGCCAGCUCUGUGGAAGGCAGGUACCAGCGAUGCAUUAGAAGAAAGAUUCUCGGCAAAUGGCUGGAGCAUUGAUUUCCUCUGUCAUCUGAAAAAGAGCAACAAGGGAAUGAACUUCUUAGCUGCGAACAGAGAAGCGUGUGUCGUUCAAGUGGAGAUAAAAAAAAUAUCAGAAGUUAAAAUCUUGGGCCAUUAUUUACCAAACAGACAGGACACAAAAGCAAAGCACACAAAUCCUCCUUUAGAGGAAACUAUUGCUAGACUGUAGUGCUGUAGGGAAAAGAAAGUCCAGACAACAGGCAUGGACAUGUCUAGCAUAUAAGCUAAAUGAGUGCAAUGAGACAGUGGGUUACACAAAUAACAAAUCUAAAGUUAGUCCACUGAAAGGGCAGGGAGAUGGUUUAUCCAAAACCACUUACAAGGUUUGUUUAGGUGCAGCUGCAUAUUAACCACUAGAUUGUUUAAAAAGAUGGAUCAAAAGCAACACUUCAGUCCGUAUGCAGAUCACACCUCCAGCUGCUGUACAGACUCUCCCAGUUUCUGCAGUGUAGCCACUGAGGCUGUGGAAGUUACUCCCUGGCUGGUUGCCUGGCUGUUCACACUCCAUAGCACCCACAAUUCUGUGUUAUUUUCUCUCUGUUGCUAUUUCAGUAGACAAUAGUCUACAUGUGUGUAUGAAACAGGAACCACAUACAGACUAGAGCUGUCAAGAGAGCAUGCAUACAUAGAAGAGAGAUAUUACUCCCAAGAGACAUGAAGUAUAUUGGUUCUGCUACCUCUCACUAGGUAUACAGGACAGCAGGUCUGAUCAUGGUCUACAAAAAAUGGAUAUACAGAGAUGCAGUAUGCUCAAGAACCAAAUCUGGCCCUUAAAUAUUUAAUUCCUCUCAUCUUCGGAUGCUUCCUUCUCUCCAAAAGGGAAAAAAACCCCAAACCAACAGCCCUCAAUCAAAUCAAAGUCUGUCUUGUGUUCCAAGAGACUUUAAAUGUAGCUUUGUGAAUUAAGAACCCAUUUCAAAGCAUAUAAGUAUAUCCAUGAACUCAUCUCAUCUGGCUAUAGGGUGACAUAAUUCUUGAUUAAUGGCACUGUGGAUCAAGGUCUACUUCAUCACUUCUUUCCUUCAGACCUGGUACACUACAUUUAAAUAAGAGUAAAAUGAUUACAUGAGCCUUGAGUCAUAUUAUUUCCAAUUAUUGCAUGAUGAUUUGAAAAACGUUUCAGAGUAACAACUGGUCAGAAAAGCAGCUGUGUAACCACUCAAGACAAAGCCAGAAAUAACUCCUUGAAUCAUUCAAUUAAACAUUUGUUUAGUUUUAAAACCACUAUACACAACAUUGCGCUUUACCUGUAUUAAAUUUUCUUAACGCAAUAUGCAUAUGACUAAAAUUCUGGCCUGCAUAAUUCUGGGACAAAAUGAAACAUGGAAAAUUUUACAGAAUGGAAAUGUUUGCCAAGGGAAAGACUGCCUAAAUCAGAGAACAGCCGGGGUUAUGCUAUAAGAUGAAUUCAAAGAACAACAGCAAAGCAAAGUAUUGAGAACACUUACCAAACAUUUCAAUACAAGCGUUCAAAAGCUCAUCUAAUGUUGCAGCCUUCCCAAGUGUGUUUGACCCCAUUGUUCUUUAAUCGUUGUCAAAAAAUAAGAGGCAUUUUCACCAAGUAGAAAAAUGCUUCUUCAGUUCUUCAGCUGCACAGUUUUUUCAUUUUAUUGUUGGUUGUGUUCUUAUCUGGGCUUCCAGGAAAACCUGCAGAGAGAAAGUAAAGGAAAUCAUAGCUAUAUGGCUACAUGAGAGAGUUAUCAGGAUGCAGCAUUUACAGUUUAAUUCAUCUUUUCUGCAAACUGUUUUUAUCCCCUCACAUGACACAGACCACGUGAAAGACUGCUGUAAGAUUUCUAUACAUUCCAGCUUGUGUUUUUAAGUGUUUUCCAAUU